GACGAACGCUGGCGGCGUGCUUAACACAUGCAAGUCGAACGGAAAGGCCCCCUUGUUGGGUACUCGAGUGGCGAACGGGUGAGUAACACGUGAGUAACCUACCCUUGACGUUGGGAUAACUUCAUGAAACUGGGGCUAAUACCGGAUAGGAGCUGCUGCUGCAUGGUGGUGGGUGGAAAGUUUCGGCGGUUGGGGGUGGACUCGCGGCUUAUCAGCUUGUUGGUGGGGUAGUGGCUCACCAAGGCUUUGACGGGUAGCCGGCCUGAGAGGGUGACCGGCCACAUUGGGACUGAGAUACGGCCCAGACUCCUACGGGAGGCAGCAGUGGGGAAUAUUGCACAAUGGGCGGAAGCCUGAUGCAGCAACGCCGCGUGCGGGAUGACGGCCUUCGGGUUGUAAACCGCUUUCGCCUGUGACGAAGCGUGAGUGACGGUAAUGGGUAAAGAAGCACCGGCUAACUACGUG
rnacentral:rRNA from 1 species